rnacentral:rRNA from 1 species
UGGGGAAUAUUGCACAAUGGGGGAAACCCUGAUGCAGCAACGCCGCGUGAGCGAAGAAGGCCUUUGGGUCGUAAAGCUCUGUCCUUAGGGAAGAAAACCAUGACGGUACCUAAGGAGGAAGCCCCGGCUAACUACGUGCCAGCAGCCGCGGUAAUACGUAGGGGGCAAGCGUUAUCCGGAAUUAUUGGGCGUAAAGGGUACGUAGGCGGUUUCAUAAGCGUGAGGUGAAAGGCAAUGGCUUAACUAUUGUAAGCCUUGCGAACUGUGAGACUUGAGUGCAGGAGAGGAGAGCGGAAUUCCUAGUGUAGCGGUGAAUGCGUAGAUAUUAGGAGGAACACCAGUGGCGAAGGCGGCUCUCUGGACUGUGACUGACGCUGAGGUACGAAAGCGUGGGGAGCAAACA